CGGGCUGUAGCGCAGCUUGGCUAGCGCGCUUGCUUGGGGUGCAAGAGGUCGUGGGUUCAAAUCCCGCCAGCCCGACC
rnacentral:tRNA from 1 species